rnacentral:rRNA from 1 species
UAGGGAAUCUUCCACGAUGGACGAAAGUCUGAUGGAGCAACGCCGCGUGAGUGAAGAAGGGUUUCGGCUCGUAAAACUCUGUUGUUAAAGAAGAACAUAUCUGAGAGUAACUGUUCAGGUAUUGACGGUAUUUAACCAGAAAGCCACGGCUAACUACGUGCCAG